GACGAACGCUGGCGGCGUGCUUAACACAUGCAAGUCGAACGGAAAGGCCCUGCUUUUGUGGGGUGCUCUAGUGGCGAACGGGUGAGUAACCCGUGAGUAACCUGCCCUUGACUUUGGGAUAACUUCAGGCAACUGGGGCUAAUACCGGAUAGGAGCUCCUGCGUCUUGGUGGGGGUGGGAAAGUUUCGGCGGUUGGGGGUGUACUCGCGGCUUAUCGGCUUGUUGCUGUGGUAGUGGCUUAGCAUGGCUUUGAAGGGUAGCCGGGCUGAGAGGGUGAGCGGACCCACUGGGCCUGAGAUGAGACACAGACCACAACGGGACGCGGGAGUGGGGAAUAGAGCACAGUGGGCUGAAGCCAGACGCAGCAAAGCCGCGCCGGGGAUGACGUCCUUCGGUUUGUAUACCGCUGUCGCCUUUCACGAGGCGUGAGUGACGGUAAUGGGUAAAGAAGCUCCGGCUAACUACGUG
rnacentral:rRNA from 1 species